ACACGAACCGCACGAACGUUAUUCGGAAUCACUGGGCUUAAAGGGUGCGUAGGCGGUCCGGUAAGUUGGGUGUGAAAGCCCUCGGCUCAACCGAGGAAUUGCGCCCAAAACUACCGGACUUGAGGAAGACAGAGGUGAGCGGAACUUGCGGUGGAGCGGUGAAAUGCGUUGAUAUCGCAAGGAACACCAGUGGCGAAAGCGGCUCACUGGGUCUUUUCUGACGCUGAGGCACGAAAGCUAGGGGAGCGAACGGGAUUAGAAACCCUAGUAGUCC
rnacentral:rRNA from 1 species